rnacentral:antisense_RNA from 20 species
GAUAACCAUAAAUGACCGCUGGAUUAAGCGUCGGUUGUGUUACCAAACGGACUGUCUGACUGGCUGCGUCGUAUAGGCCACCCCAAGUUGUUGCCUUUGCCACCAGCAGCAAUGCUCCAACCCCGAGGAACAGCAAGUGGUGUCCCAGAAUGAGGCCUAGUUGUUUGGGAUCAUUCCA